CCUACGGGAUGCAGCCGUGAGGACUAUUGGUCAAUGGGCGCGAGCCUGAACCAGCCACGUCGCGUGCAGGAUGACUGCCCUACGGGUUGUAAACUUCUUUUAUAGAGUAAUAAAGUGAGUCACGUGUGCCUUUUUGUAUGUACUUUAUGAAUAAAGAUCGGCUAACUCCGUGCCAGCAGCCGCGGUAAUACGGAGGAUCCGAGCGUUAUCCGGAUUUCUUGGGUUUAAAGGGAGCGUAGAUGGGUUGUUAAGUCAGUUGUGAAAGUUUGCGGCUCAACCGUAAAAUUGCAAUUGAUAAUGGCAGCCUUGAGUACAGUUGAGGUAGGCGGAAUUCGUGGUGUAGCGGUGAAAUGCUUAGAUAUCACGAAGAACUCCGAUUGCGAAGGCAGCUUACUAAACUGCCACUGACAUUGAGGCUCGAAAGUGUGGGUAUCAAACAGGAUUAGAUACCCUUGUAGUC
rnacentral:rRNA from 1 species